CGCCGUUUUACCACCGAUACUGAUACAGUGGUGAACCGCCGUUUUACCACCGAUACUGAUACAGUGGUGAACCGCCGUUUUACCAUGUGAUCUUUUCAUUAGUAGAACUCACUAAUGAGUCUUCCUUGAUGUUUCACCUCUUAAAGUGGCAGAAAGCUCAGCACCCAUAUUUACAACUUAUUACAACAGCACUACUAAAGUCUUUCAUGUUAAAUCAAAUAGAUCUUAGCUAAUCAAUGGUGAUUAGCUAACGGACGUCACAUUGUGUUUCAGGUGUGUAUUUCAUGUUUUAAUUGAUUCCCUUAUGUUUAUAUUAUUCAUUAAUAUAUGAGUAAUUCACUUAAUAAUUGUUGAGUACACAUUUUUGACUGACUGACUUGAUGGUCUCACAUCAGAACCAACUCAGAACCCACGAUAAAGAACUUUACUGAAUUUGAAAAUUGCCGUAUGACUUUUGUGGCAAAGGGUAUUUCUGCUGUAAACGAGCAACAUUCACUGUAUGUCACCAUUAAAGAGGUUGUGCUGAUCUAUUCACUGCUCUCCAUGUUGAGUAUUCAUGUUAUAUUACUGUUAGUAUUCCAUGUUGGUAUUAUCAUUUAUUUCAUAUCAAUUUCACAUAAUACAGGAAUGUAACAUUGCAUUUGUCAUACUGUAGCUAUAGGUACACAAACUGUAGGUCCUGAAAAAAAGAUGUCUUUGUAAAUAUCCAUGAGAAAAACAGCUUGAUGGGUAAAAGAAAGAAUCACACAUCUGUAUCCACCAAGAAAAUGUACCUGGUGCAUCUCAUGAUUGGGACUCAAAAUGACUUCAUCAAUGUUGUCCCGAUGAACUUCAUUUGAAAUGUUAAUAGAUGGCUUGUGUCUCUCUGUCGGUAACUUUUCUGAUCAUCACUAAUUCAAAAGAAAGCGUUGAGAAUAAACAGUAUAUUGUGGAACAGGUAUACAGGAGGCCUAGUCAGCCCCUUUAUGGUGUAAAUGAAAGUGCUCAUGAAAUGUAUCAUUCUCUGCACACAUGUUCAAAGCAUAUAAAAAAGAGCAUUUUCUGAGUUACCGAAUAGCCAAUUUCCCCCUAUUUUGUUUGUUUUUGUAUUAAGGCAAACCCGGGACUUUCUCAAGGCUGCACAGACUCAUCAUGCCUUUCACCUAACAUGCCUGCUGCUCCACCCCUCCUGGUGACAUCCCAGUAACUGGUUGCCAUUUUGAAAGGGAUACAUUUGAGCUUCACUUCAUUUGUGCUUCACUCCUUCAAAGAGAUGUCUUUUGUUCUGCCUUCAUCCUCACCUAAGUCUUAAAAAAAAGAAUAUGCUGUAUGUCCACCAACAGCCUCUGUGAACUGGUCCUCUUUACACCUCCUUCUUUCUCCAGCUUCUCAAAGCAAUCUCCGCAUAGAAUUGUGACCCAUUAGUUUUUUAUGCGGUUGCUUUGUGAUAAAGUUCACCAUGACCUCCUGGUACAGUUGCCUACCAUCUACAGACACCUGACCACUGUAUAAACAUGAGGAAACAGGAGACCAGGAGAGCUGGCAGAGACACAAUACAGUGCCCUUCUUGUUGCUAUAUGCUCUUCUAAACAAAGCAAGACCAAGCGCACAGAGAGACAGUCCACUCUCAAACCUUCAACAAACCGACUGCUGAAUCACGGAAUGUUCGAUGACGGAUUUACAACUUCUAGUUCAGAACUGUAGCCUUGAUCUCACCGUUGUUUGUGUUUGGGUCACGAUACUGUACAAGCUGUUUCCCUUGACAGCAUCUGUCCUUUCCCUGUAUGGAUCCUAAAGGAGGAAUUAGUGAACUGGCUAGAAAACAAUAAAAAGAGAAUUAUGCAUAUUUGCUGAUACACAGUGCUUGCUUAUGUCUUAUUGUUUGUUUGUGCAGGAUGAUUGGAGGUGCAUACAGCUGUAGGAUAUUAAUUUGAUCACCCUGCUGCAGGAGAACUUUACUGCAAUGCAGGACAUUUUCAACGUGGAGUGUAUUUGAGGUUUAAAAAGGCUUCUGAAGAAAUGUAAACAUUUCAGACUGGAUUUUCUCAUUAUGAAAAAUGUAUCAACCCCUACAAAAAUGUCCAUUCAUUAUAAUCCACAUAAUAAUUCACAUUUCCUGUUGCUGCAGGAUUAUUUUUCUGUUAUAGCAAUCUGGCUCAAAUGAAGUUCCUACAUCUGUAUGGAGUAGUGUGUCUUACCAUUCCGUUUGUAAUGUUUGCAUCGUCUAGGCACCGCUCCUCCCCUACAAUAGCAAAUCAACUAACAAGGGGUUACAGAAAUGUAAGAGUAUCUGUGUAUUUUCACAGCUUUGAGUUCAGUUGAUUUGUGAUUCUGUAAAACUGGGAUUUUAUCCUUACAAUGAGACGCACAUAGCAAUUAUAAAAUUGGAGCUUGGAUUAUUGUAAAUGUUGUGGAAUUAUUUUAGUAAAUUUGCAUUUCUCUGUUUACUUUUACAGGUGUAUCAAAGCAGCUUCCCAGUCUUGCUUCUACUCAUGAAAUAACAUAUUUUGUAAGGUACAUCUAAUCAACAUUAAAAUGGCAUAUUAAUAUAUUCACCAUGUAUGCGUGUAUGAUGAGAUGUUGCAAAUUCUGCUAGAGACGCCUUCUUUAUAGUAAAGCUAUCUCUUUUUCUCUAACUCCUGACUUCUCUCCUGACUUCUCUCGUGACUUCUCUCCUGACUUCUCUCCUGACUUCUCUCCUGACUUCUCUCCUGACUUCUCUCCUGACUUCUCUCUUUCUAUUGUUUUGAUUAUAUUAGACUACUGUUCUGUUAGAUAUCCAGAAAACGAAGAGCAAUAUAUUUCCUGAGUGUACAUUUUAAACAUAUAUUAAAAACAAUAUUUUUGUACAUUGACUAUUGCAUUGAGUAUUUGUAAUAAAACGUAUUGACUGAAAUUCACUCAAUGUUUACUGAUUAUAUGUGUGCUUCGGGCAAUAGCCUAUGUUUUAUUACAAAUACUCAACACAACCUCCAAAAGGAAUAAGUGCAAAUACUGGACAAAAAUAUAAACGCAACAUGUAAAGUAUUGAUCCCAUGUUUCAUGAGCUCAAAUAAAAGCUCAGAAAUCCCAGGAAUUUUCCAUAUUCACAAAAAGCUUUUCUCUCUCCAUGUCAUCCCCUGACCAUAGACAGCAUUUUUAUUCUCUAUUUUGAUUAGGUCGGGGUGUGACUAGGGGGGGUGUUCCUAUCUAAGUGUUUUAUUUCUAUGUUGGCCUGGUAUGGUUCCCAAUCAGAGGCAGCUGUUUAUUGUUGUCUCUGAUUGGGGAUCAUAUUUAGGCAGCCAUUUCCCCACUGUGUUUUGUGGGAUCUUGUUUUGAGUUAGUGCAUGUGGCACCUCUAAUGUCACGGUUCGUUGUUUGUUUCUUUUUGUUUGGAAGGUUCGCAUAAAUAAAUAUGUGGAACUUUAAUCACGCUGCGCCUUGGUCCGUCUCGCCACACAACCGUGACAGAAGAUCCCACCACAACAGGACCAAGCAGCGUGCCCAGGAGGAGAAGGUAUCC
ensembl:lncRNA